rnacentral:rRNA from 1 species
GAUGAACGCUGACAGAAUGCUUAACACAUGCAAGUCGACUUGAAGCAACUUCGGUUGUGGAAAGUGGCGGACGGGUGAGUAACGCGUAAAGAACUUGCCCUUCGGUCUGGGACAACCAUUGGAAACGAUGGCUAAUACCGGAUAUUAUGGAACUCUCGCAUGGGAGGAUCAUGAAAGCUAUAUGCGCUGAAGGAGAGCUUUGCGUUCCAUUAGCUAGUUGGUGAGGUAACGGCUCACCAAGGCGACGAUGGAUAGCCGGCCUGAGAGGGUGAUCGGCCACAAGGGGACUGAGACACGGCCCUUACUCCUACGGGAGGCAGCAGUGGGGAAUAUUGGACAAUGGACCAAAAGUCUGAUCCAGCAAUUCUGUGUGCACGAUGAAGGUUUUCGGAUCGUAAAGUGCUUUCAGUUGGGAAGAAGAAAGUGACGGUACCAACAGAAGAAGCGACGGCUAAAUACGUGCCAGCAGCCGCGGUAAUACGUAUGUCGCAAGCGUUAUCCGGAUUUAUUGGGCGUAAAGCGCGUCUAGGCGGGUUCAUAAGUCUGAUGUUAAAAUGCGGGGCUCAACUCCGUAUUGCGUUGGAAACUGUGAACCUAGAGUAUCAGAGAGGUGGGCGGAACUACAAGUGUAGAGGUGAAAUUCGUAGAUAUUUGUAGGAAUGCCGAUGGAGAAGUCAGCUCACUGGAUGAAUACUGACGCUAAAGCGCGAAAGCGUGGGUAGCAAACAGG